rnacentral:rRNA from 1 species
CCUACGGGUGGCAGCAGUAGGGAAUCUUCCACAAUGGACGAAAGUCUGAUGGAGCAACGCCGCGUGAGUGAAGAAGGGUUUCGGCUCGUAAAGCUCUGUUGGUAGUGAAGAAAGAUAGAGGUAGUAACUGGCCUUUAUCUGACGGUAAUUACCUAGAAAGUCACGGCUAACUACGUGCCAGCAGCCGCGGUAAUACGUAGGUGGCAAGCGGUGUCCGGAUUUAUUGGGCGUAAAGCGAGUGCAGACGGUUCAAUAAGUCUGAUGUGAAAGCCUUCGGCUCAACCGGGGAAUUGCAUAAGAAACUGUUGGACUUGAGUGCAGAAGAGGAGAGUGGAACUCCAUGUGUAGCGGUGGAAUGCGUAGAUAUAUGGAAGAACACCAGUGGCGAAGGCGGCUCUCUGGUCUGCAACUGACGCUGAGGCUCGAAAGCAUGGGUAGCGAACAGGAUUAGAUACCCUUGUAGUC